rnacentral:misc_RNA from 1 species
AUAUUUAUUGAUCUUCCUUCAAUAGGACGGGCUUUGGCCUCAUCACAGAAGAUGCUUUAUGGUGUAAGCAGAGGGGAAAUUGUGGAUGCCCAAAUUAUAUCUGAAGUUUACACCUUCCGAAUUGCAGUUGAGGGGCUGAGAAUUGCCCUAAAUAGUGCUGGUAGGUUACCUAUCAAAAGCUUGGGGAAGCCUAACAAAAAUAAGGUUGAGUUUUCAGAGCUUCCAGUUGAAGACAAGUCACAUGCACUCCUUGCACAGGCCCUUCGUACUCAGACUAGGAAGCUCAAGACUAUAGUAGCUUUAGUAGAUGCUAGUAACUUGGCAGGUCUCAGGAAACACUGGGACACUUCUGUGCCCCCAGAAAUCAAGGAAUUGGUUGGCGAGCUUGCCACUACUUUUGAAUUGGAUGGGGACUUUUCAAAUCAGACAGACAAGAAGAGUCUAUUUUCUAGUAAAUCUGUAAUGGCAGUUGGAGCUGGAGCAACAGCAGUCUUAGGAGCUUCAUCUCUCUCUAAAGUGGUUCCCACAUCAACAUUCUUCAAGGUUGUAACAUUUAAAUUGCCUGCUUCUCUUAAUUUUGUGCUAACCCAAACUCAGAAGACUAUGGCAAUAGCUCUAAGCAAGACUCUUGGUCCAAAAGUAGUUGCCCCAGGACUGGCAAACUCUGGAGCCAAUGCGACAUCUGUGUUAAAAGCAGCUGCUUCUGCUGAGAAAAUACGGACGGUGGCCCACAGCAUUAUAGCCUCUGUUGAGAAGACCAGUUUUUCAGCCAUGAGAACAGCAUUCUAUGAGAUAAUGAGAAAACGACAGGUCCAACCCAUAGGUUUCCUGCCUUGGGCAACAUUUGGUUGCAGUAUUGCAACGUGCUCAGCUUUGCUUAUGUAUGGAGAUGGGAUUGAAUGUGCUGCUGAAUCUGUUCCUGCCGCCCCUUCAAUUGCCAGUUUGGGUCGUGGGAUUCAAAAUUUGCAUCAGGUAUCUCAAGAAGUGGGGCAGAAGGAUGGCACCAGAAUACAAAAAGCCAUAGAGUCACUGAUGUAUAGUUUGAGGAAAGUAAAGAUUCAAUAGAGUACAAAUCUUCUCUUCAUUGUAUACUAGAAGUGAUUGCCCCUAAAUUUAGAGAAUUCUUCUGUAAAUAAUGCGUAUACAUUGGGGUUUUU